AGCAGGAACAGGAGGAGGAAGAGGAGGAGCCCCAGCAGAACCACGCUUUUCCCGCCUGCCUGCUGAGUCUGCAGCUCCCCUGGCCCUGGCAGCAUCGAUCCCCCAGAUCCCACAGGAUUUGUCAAUCCCAAACUUUGUCUGGAUGAAGCUGGAGGAGGCUGCAAGGAAAAGGAAAAUGGCCUGGGACACAGAGGCAGGCGAGGAGGAAGUCACUGCCCCUUUGCCCCUCUCCUCUGCUCCAUGUCUCAGCCCAGCAUUGCCCCUGGCUGCAGGACAAUCCCACUGCUGAUGUUAUAAACAAAAAUCCGCCAAUUUUUUUUUGUGAGAAAAAGGUUACAAAAACUAGUCAGAUCACUCUUGCUGCUGAGGCGCUACCUGUUUGUUAUGAUAAUUACAAGUCGUUGUCGUUAAUGGUUCUUUUUUGGAUCAGUAAAGGCCCUGGCCAAGACUAAGUUAAUGGCUCUUCUCCGGAGACAGUGAAGGGCGGGGACCUCCCCAGACAGUGAGGAGAAAGGACUAAACGUGGGAGAGGGGACAUGCUAAAUAACUUCAGGACCAGCAUGCCAUGAGAAGCUACUACUCCAAACUUACUGAAAAGACCCCCAAAACAACGAGCCAAUAUAGAGUUGAGAAAUUGGAGUGAUGUCCGAACGUGAGGAGCAGAGUGCUGGACCUGCGGGGAUGCUGGGGGCCUUUGUUGCCCCUCACCCUGGGUGUGGGGAUCCUCUCGGACCGGGUCCCGAAGGGAGCGAAGCUGGGAAAGUCAACAUCUGGGUCACGCCCAAAAAAAGCUCCAACGAGGACUGGACCGCCGGCUCUGUCCCUAGUGGACAAAGCUGCAAAUAUCCUCCUGCGAGUCACCUUGGGAGAGACAACGGAGACUGCAGACCUGUCGAGCUUCCCAAUCCUGAGCUAAUCACUUUUAAUACAGGCAUUAAAAGGAGAAAAAGUCUCCUGCCCUGUUUAUUUUAGCUGACACUGUCCUGCCAGGGAUGAAUUGGUGGGAUCCCUUCCCUCUAGCACAGAGGCAAAUCCCAUCCUCUCCUUGUCCACAGCUCCUUCCUCUUCUCUUUCUGUCCUUCUUCCUUCCUCAUUCCUUCCUCUCCUUUUCUUUCCUUACCCCAGGCACUGAGCUGCAGAUGGAGACCAGGGAGGACAAAUCCCUGUGGUGUUCACAUUUCUUUGAAUAGAGACAUAAUUCUCUCUCCCAGGAUUUUUCCUGGGAAGCUGUGGAAAGACUGAGAAAGCUCAGAAAGGAAGAAAACAAUUCUUAUCUCACUUGCUGCACCUGUUGUUUGGCACAUGUGGAAUGUGUUAUUGAGAUUGUUUACUGAGAGUGAUUUGUUAAUUGGACUGUGGUCAUGGUUGUUAGGACUGAUUGACCAAUUAGGUCAAAGCUGGGUCGUGACUGUCUGGAAAGGGUCAGAGGUUUUUCUUUAGUAUGUAAUUUUGUAUAGAUUUAGUAUAGCAGUAGUGUAAUGUAGUAUAAUAUAGUAUAGAAUAAAGCAUCUGUUCAGCCUUUAAAAUCAUGGAGUCAGAGCACAUAUUUCCUUGGAUGGGUGAGACAAAGUAGAAAUUUAACAGGAUAGAAAUGCAUUUUUGGAUUGAGGUGAAAAGUGCUGUUCUGAGCCUGUAACUUGUUUAUCUGUGCUUAAGACUCCCUGUUCUCACAAGAGAGGAAAAAAAACAAAGAAAAAAUCUUGUGCUCACAGAAUGGCCUCGACCAAGAGAAGGAAUUCAAACUCUCAAGAUAAAUGGAGGCCCCUUUGUCAGGGCCAAAGGCUGAGGCUGACCAGAGAGCUCUCUGCGCAAAAGGCAAGGACUGAUAAAAACUAAUUGCAGCUUGUAAUGUGAAAUCUGUAAAAUGAAUAUGAAUGAGACUAUAUGCAUAUGUAUAAGCAAGGGGGAAUUCUCAGGGGUGCGCGUGUCCUUUAGGGGGAACAACGAUUCCCACAUGCGUCCAGUGCUAAACAUACUGGCUUUACAACUUUUUACAAAGUUGUGGAGUUUCUCUUUUUUUUCCACUAAUCAUUUUGGCGAGCCAGCCAGGCGAUUGUCUGUCCCUGCAGGGGCAGAAGGGAGGACGGACUCCUGGGUGCUCCCUGGGAUUUUCCUGGAGGAGCUCUGCUCCAUCUCGGCUUGCCUCCUGCAGAUACAGACAAUGACCUGCUGGUGUGCAGAUAGACGGUACGUCUGUCAAAGGGCCUGGGGGAGAUAGGGCUGCUGAUAAGUCACUCAGAGAUGUCUGAGUGCACAGCCUCGUCCCUGUGCUUGCAGGCAGCCAUCGACCAAGAGCACGGUCAGCGGCAGAGGUUCCCGGUUGAUAGCGCAACUGGGAACGGGUUCAUUGUUCAAUGGAGCGGCCGCUAGCGACUCUGAGGUGAGCCGAGUGAACCCGAACUUUGUGUGCUUGUGGUGUCCAGACAUUGUAUGGCUAAUGCAUUGUGUGGUUAAUGUUGGCGUGUUUGUAAUCGUGUGAGUGCGUGGUGUAUAAAACAGACUGAGUGAGUGAGUGAGUGUACCCACGGCGUGCAGGGGCAUUUCUACCCAUGUCUGAAGCAGCCAGGUGAGGCCCGGAGCGCUGGCUGGGGCAGUCUGUGAGGGCAGGAACACCCCGUGGAGUAGUGGAACAAGUGGAGAAACCUGGGUGAGGACAUUUAGUCAUUUACUGUGUUUAAAGGUGGUGAUGUGUGAUUUGUGUAGAUUGUGCAUGUUUUAACCGGGGCUAGAUGAACUCAGGGGAUUCUUCUGCCCCUGCAGUUUGGACUUGGUCCCUGGAAUUUUACUGUGUGCUGUUAUUUUGAUUGUGUCCAGAGUGUGUGAGGACCAGAAGAGGCUGAUAAGCUGAUGUGGGUAGAUGAUGAAGUGUUGUAUGUUGGGUUGUGUCAAGGAAAGUGGGCACUCUUAAGAGAUACCCCUUUCCCAGUGAGUUUGUGUGGUUCCUCCCCCACAUUGUGGUAAUUUGAUUCUCGGUAUUGUAGGCUUGUGUUUGUGGAGAUUUUAGGAUUUUGUUUGCAACAAGUGUAGCAUUUUACAUGGAAAAACUGCAGUAUGGUGAUUUAUGUUUAACUGUGAUAAAACAAAUUAAAGGAAUUCCAGGAAUUCCCUUCCCACAGCAACCUAAGCCCUGACUCUCGUGAAUUUGAGAUGCAGGGUGUGUGUGUGUGUCUGUGUCUGUGUUUGUGGGCAUAUCAGAGUUUUUGCUGUAAGAGGCACAGCUUUUUGCAAGGCAGCAAAGUGAGUGUCAAUAGAAACAAUGCUUGAAUUAGGUUGUGUGGGAAGAGAACUGGGAAAGAAUGAGAUUUUGUAAAGCAUAGUUUAGGCGGAAGAGACCAAGACAGGCACUUUAUAAUUUAUGUUAUUCUAAGGAAACCAAGGCUACUCAGAGAGCUCUAAAGAAUUUAGUGGCAACUGGUAACGAGAAGCAAAGAAGAACAAGGAUGUUGAAUUAUUAGAAAAGAGAGUUUCAUGUAAUUUAAGAAACCCAGCAGAAAUAAUUAAAGCUGAGUGCGUUCAGCUUAUUUUAUACCCCAAGACUUUGAAUUAAGGCAAAAGGCUGGGAUGGGGUAGAAAGAUGGGAGCUAAGAAAAUGGAAUUUUUAGUAGACACGGGGGCAGCAAACUCAGUGUUAAAUAAAGCCUCAAUGCCUGUAACAGAUGUUAUGGUAAGGGGGCAACUGGCCAAUCUGAAAAAUCAUAUUUUGCAAACCAUCAAAAUAGUCAUAGUUUUUUGUAUAUGCCCAACUCUUCAAAGGCCCUGUUGAGUAGGGACUUGUUGGAGCAGCUGGAAGCAAAGAUCACAUUUAAAGAUGGAGAGAUUAUUUUAGAGGUAAAGGAUCAAGAAUAUGGAGAUAUAUUGAGCUUAAUUUUAACAAUUAGUGAAACUGAAAUUGAAAAUAAGGAUGAAAUUAACAAGAAAAGAAUGGAUCCAAUGUUUCCUGGGGUAUGGGCCUCUAACAUGGCAGGGAGGGCAGAGAAUGCACCUUCUGUACAAGUUAAGGAAAACAACGGGCUAGGGUCAGGCAGUACAACUUGUGGCAAACCCAUACACCCUACUAACAUGUUUGGCACCUGAGCUACCCUUGUUUACUGUUUUAGAUCUGAAAGAGGCCUUCUUUUGCCUCCCUAUUCAUAAAGCCAACUAGAAAAUUUUUGCAUUCAAAUGAGAAAACCCUAAAAGCAGGUGCAAAACCCAGCUCACAUAGAUUGUGAAGGCCUCAAGGCCUUCAAGGUUUCAAAAUUCCCCUGCUCUGUUUGGAGAAGAACUUACAAAAGACCUAGAGCCCCAGGAAGCUCCACAAGAAGAAGGAAGGCUAUUACAGUACAUGGAUAAUCUCUUGAUAUCCACUCAGACAAGGGAAGCAUGUGUGGCCUGGACCGUGAGCCUUUUGAAUUUCCUAGGGCUCCAAGGACACAGAGUAUCAAAGAAAAAAAAAAAGAAAAAGGCGGAGGCAGUGAAACAGAAAAUAAUCUACCUGGGGUAUGAGGUCAGUGCUGGGCAAAAGACUCUGUAGUCACUAACCUUGUGAACCCAGCUUCUUUUCUCAGUGGGAUCAAGGAGAAGCAGCACACCACGAUUGCCUGGAGACCAUUGAAGCUAAUUACUCCAGAUACCCGGACUUGAAGGACACUCCUUUGGAUGGUGCAGAGACCUGGUUCACUGAUGGGAGUAACCACAUUGCCAGUGGAAAGCGACGUGCUGGAUAUGCAGUCACUACCUGCAGAGAGGUAAUAGAAUCUGGACCCCUACCAACAGGCACCUCUGCACAGAAGACCAAAAUAAUUGCACUGAUUCUCUUUCCUUUUGGCUUAGAAAUGGCAGGCGGAAAGAGAAUAAAAUCUAUACAGAGCCAUGGUAUGCAUUUGGAGUUGUGCAUGCACAUGGAGCCACCUGGAGAGAGAGGGGACUGCUGACCUCACAAGGAAAGAACAUCAAACAUGCACAAGAGAUGAUCGGGAUAAUCGGGCUGCUGGAAGCAGUUCAGCUGCCUGAAAAGGCAGCAAUUAUGCUUAUUAGGGCACACCAGAGAGUGAACUCAGAAUUGGAAGAAGGAAAUGAGCUGGCGGAUAGAGAGGCAAAGGAAGCAGCAAAAGGUGAGGUAACUAUUGAAGGAGCUCUGAUUUUAGAUGGGCAAAUUUCCCUUGAAGGUAAGCCAGAAUACAAUGAGAAAGAUAGAAAACUAAUCAAAGAUCAAAACGGGACCUACAACCAAGAAGGGUGGGCAACCAUUGAAGGGAAGCUGGUAAUCCCUUCCCAUUUCAUGUAGUCACUAGUAAGGGAGGAGCACCAGAAAACACACUGGGGAAUAGAUGCCCUGAACACCUACUUGAUUGAAAGAAUCGUUGCCUGGAAUUUACAUGCCACUAUUACUCAAGUGGCAGUGUGAUCUUUGCCUCCAGACUAACCCCAAUAAUACCCGCAGACCAAAACUUGGUCAGACUGGGAGGGGCCAUGGGCCUGGACAGCAGUGGCAAAUUGACUUAUCCAUCAGAAGGCAGAAGCUGUUGACCCUUCCUGGAAUGAUUUUUGCUCAGAAGUGAUUAUCUGCAGCACAAAACCACCAUCCACUAUUGACUUUCACAGUACAAUGACAUUCUUACAGAGAUACUGUCAAGUUGCCUUGUGUGCUUCUGGCUGCUUUUCUUGCUCUCUGGAAAAAAACAUCAGUCCAGCGUCUGAUGGCCAAUGCUGCGGGUGCUGCCCAUCUGGCUGUGGCCAGCAGCUCGUGCCCAAACACAAGCGGGUGCCUUCUGGGCAAGGGGAUGGACUGGCACGAGCAGCCAUUUUCCCUGGUGAACCUGGGAGGCCCCUGGGCAAGUGCAGAAGAUUGGGAUGACCCUGGCAUGAGAGAACGUGUGGUGUGUCUCUGAUGAUGCUGCCAGCACUGCGAAGGAACACCCAAGACAAGCACUGGAAGCAGACACAUCCUGCCAGUUUCUGCUUGUGAGAGUCUGUCUGAAUUUUCCCUCAUCUGCCUCACGAUUGUCAUUGGGGGACCACUGAAGAUCCCCCUGUCUUGAAUCUCUGGCUCCAAGGGAGAAAGUCAUGUGCCUGAGACCUGAGAGCGUUGCGAAGCCAUUGUUCUCACAGGUGUUGUUUGCUGUAUGCUACGCUGAGCCCAAUGAGAAGAAGAACGGGGCACUGUGCCCUUUUUGCAACAACAGCCUUGGAAGCUGUCCCACCUCUUGGCCUGGCUGGACUUCUCCUGCGUUUCAGGUGGUCCCCCCACAGAAGACCCUCACCUGUUUUACAACCACCGGGACAGACAGACUGAGAUGGAAGGAGCCUCUCCAUCAAGGACUGAGACAUGGAACCCCCAUGUGGAAAGGCCCCUCUGCUCCUUCCAAGGACCGGGACUGAAACCCCCAGCCCGAGGUAGGUGUGUGGGGGAGGCAAGCUGACCAAAGCGAGAUGUUUGCCUGCAGGUUGUGACCCCUGCACCAAGAAGACAAUGGCUCUCCUUUACUGCUGAGAGCAUGGACUACCUGUUACUUCUAUUCCUUAUUGUAUCUGUAUCCUCCUGCCUCGCAAUUUCCAAUAGAGUUAUCAUAAUAAAAACCUCUGAGUUAGCGAGAGACUUUGAGAUCUCCCCGACGCAACAGGCGGGUCCUCGACUGGACUGGACCAAAGGACUUUGUCUCUACGUUUGGCAGCCCUAUUCCCUCUCUUCCUCUGUCUUUUUCUCUCCCUUAAUCCCUCUAUCGCAUUUUGCUGUGGUCAUUCAAUAAAGGUGCAUUUGUUUCAAUUAUCAUUGCAAAA